CACGGUAGCAAUACUGGUGGCGACCGGCGCACGGGUGCGUAACACGUAUAUAAUCUGCCUUUAACAGGGGGAUAGCCCGGAGAAAUCCGGAUUAAUACCCCAUAACAAUGAGAAUGGCAUCAUUUUCAUUUAAAAGCUCCGGCGGUUAAAGAUGAAUAUGCGACUGAUUAGCUAGUUGGUAGUGUAACGGACUACCAAGGCGACGAUCAGUAGGGGAUCUGAGAGGAGUACCCCCCACACGGAUACUGAGACACGGAUCCGACUCCUACGGGAGGCAGCAGUAAGGAAUAUUGGACAAUGCCCGCAAGGGUGAUCCAGCCAUGCCGCGUGCAGGAAGACGGCCCUAUGGGUUGUAAACUGCUUUUGUACCGGAGAAAACCUCCCCUCGUGAGGGGAGCUGAUAGUAUGGUAAGAAUAAGCAUCGGCUAACUUCGUGCCAGCAGCCGCGGUAAGACGAAGGAUGCAAGCGUUAUCCGGAUUCAUUGGGUUUAAAGGGAGCGUAGGCGGUUUGGUAAGUCAGUGGUGAAAUCUCUCAGCUUAACUGAGA
rnacentral:rRNA from 1 species